rnacentral:rRNA from 1 species
GACGAACCGUGCGAACGUUGUUCGGAUUCACUGGGCUUAAAGGGCGCGUAGGCGGAUACCCAAGUCCGGGGUGAAAUCUUUCGGCUCAACCGGAAAACUGCCUUGGAUACUGGGUGUCUGGAGGGAGGUAGGGGCGUGCGGAACUUCCGGUGGAGCGGUGAAAUGCGUAGAUAUCGGAAGGAACGCCGGUGGCGAAAGCGGCGCGCUGGACCUCUUCUGACGCUGAGGCGCGAAAGCCAGGGGAGCAAACGGG